GAUGAACGCUGGCGGCGUGCCUAAUACAUGCAAGUCGAGCGAACAGACGAGGAUCUUGCUCCUCUGACGUUAGCGGCGGACGGGUGAGUAACACGUGGAUAACCUACCUAUAAGACUGGGAUAACUUCGGGAAACCGGAGCUAAUACCGGAUCAUAUAUUGAACCGCAUGGUUCAAUAGUGAAAGACGGUUUUGCUGUCACUUAUAGAUGGAUCCGCGCCGGAUUAGCUAGUUGGUAAGGUAACGGCUUACCAAGGCAACGAUGCGUAGCCGACCUGAGAGGGUGAUCGGCCACACUGGAACUGAGACACGGUCCAGACUCCUACGGGAGGCAGCAGUAGGGAAUAUUCCGCAAUGGGCGAAAGCCUGACGGAGCCACGCCGCGUGAGUGAAGAAGGUCUUCGGAUCGUAAAACUCUGUUAUUAGGGAAGAACAAAUGUGUAAGUAACUAUGCACGUCUUGACGGUACCUAAUCAGAAAGCCACGGCUAACUACGUG
rnacentral:rRNA from 1 species